GUUGAACGCUGGCGGCAGGCCUAACACAUGCAAGUCGAACGGUAACAGGUAGCAGCUUGCUGCUUUGCUGACGAGUGGCGGAAGGGUGUGUACUGUCUGGGGGAAUGACCGCUGGAGGGGGCUGACUACUGGCAACGGUCUCUAAUACAGAAUAACGUAGCCGGACCAAAGAGGGGGUCCUUAGGGCUACUUGCCAUCGGAUGUGACCAGAUGGGAUUAGCUUGGAGGUUGGGUAAUGGCUCACCUUGGCGACAGUCACUAGCUGAUCUGCGAGGAGGACAGGCCACACUGGAAGUGAGACACGGGCCAGACUCCGACGGGGGGCAGCAGUGGGGAAUUAUGCACAAUGGGCGCAAGCCUGAUGCAGCCAUGCCGCGUGGAUGAAGAAGGCAUUCGGGUUGGAAAGUACUUGCAGCAGGGAGGAAGGGAGUAAAGUUAAUACCUUUGCGCAUUGACGUUACCCGCAGAAGAAGCACCGGCUAACUCCGUG
rnacentral:rRNA from 1 species